AGCAGGAUUUGGCUCUGCAGACCACCCACAGAGAAACAUAGAGUGAGCCUUCAUGACAAACGGAGAUUACCACUACAAUGCUGCUGUCUUUCGAGGCCUUUGAGAAAAUGUGCAGAAUUUGGCAGAUUGCUGCUUUCUGGAUAUCAUGGAGGACAAACUAAAUGAUGGGGAGGCUCAGUGGCAUGAUAAGAGUCAUCUAAACAAGUACUUUUGGCUUCUGCAGUCUCUCCACCAGUCCUGCAUCCUCUGCUGGUUCUUCUGCUGCUCCUCGGACUCAAACAGUAGCUCCUUCAGCCAACGCUCGUUCUUCCACAGAGUCUUCACCGUCUCAGUGUGCUGCUUCUGCUCCAAGUCCAACUCCAGCUCCAUCUCGUUCACCUGCACACAGACACGCAACAGUGACUUCACUCCAUGUGUUCAGCAAGUAUUCCAGCUGAUCUAGUUGCUACUCAAAGGGUAAACUAGUACACACUCCUCUGUAUUUUUUUCUUUGUAUUUGCCAAAGUUGUAGUUAACCCCAAAGUGAGCGCGACUGUAAUGUUGCUAAUAAUUCCUCCUUGCACAGGAAAACUCUGUCUGCAACUACAGAAAGUAACCUUGAUUAAAAAGUCUAAAUUGUA